AGGACGAACGCUGGCGGCGUGCUUAACACAUGCAAGUCGAGCGGAGAGGCCCUUCGGGGUACUCGAGCGGCGAACGGGUGAGUAACACGUGAGCAACCUGCCCUUAGCUCUGGGAUAGCUCCGGGAAACCGGAAUUAAUACCGGAUAUGACCUAGGCCGACAUCGGCCGUGGUGGAAAGUUUUUCGGCUAGGGAUGGACUCGCGGCCUAUCAGCUAGUUGGUGGGGUAAUGGCCUACCAAGGCGACGACGGGUAGCCGGCCUGAGAGGGCGACCGGCCACACUGGGACUGAGACACGGCCCAGACUCCUACGGGAGGCAGCAGUGGGAAUCUUGCGCAAUGGGCGAAAGCCUGACGCAGCGACGCCGCGUGGGGGAUGAAGGCCUUCGGGUUGUAAACCCCUUUCAGCAGGGACGAAGCGAAAGUGACGGUACCUGCAGAAGAAGCGCCGGCUAACUACGCGCCAGCAGCCGC
rnacentral:rRNA from 1 species